ACGACCCCAGAAUACCACAGCUUAUACCCGUCUACAUUCCUCGCCUUCAACCCUUUCCACCUAGUCUCCUGGACACAUGCUAUGUUAACCCUCCUCUUCUGAAGAACCUUCGCCAACUCAAUGGAUUUACCUGUCAGAGUGCCUAUGUUCCACGACCCAAUCCUUAAUCUAUGAGCGUCCGCUACCCUCUUCCCACCCUUACCUCCCGCC
rnacentral:lncRNA from 1 species